UUUUAUUUGAGAGUUUGAUCCUGGCUCAGGAUGAACGCUGGCGGCGUGCCUAACACAUGCAAGUUGAGCGAUUUACUUCGGUAAAGAGCGGCGGACGGGUGAGUAACGCGUGGGUAACCUACCCUGUACACACGGAUAACAUACCGAAAGGUAUGCUAAUACGUGAUAAUAUAUUUGAGAGGCAUCUCUUAAAUAUCAAAGGUGAGCCAGUACAGGAUGGACCCGCGUCUGAUUAGCUAGUUGGUAAGGUAACGGCUUACCAAGGCGACGAUCAGUAGCCGACCUGAGAGGGUGAUCGGCCACAUUGGAACUGAGACACGGUCCAAACUCCUACGGGAGGCAGCAGUGGGGAAUAUUGCACAAUGGGCGAAAGCCUGAUGCAGCAACGCCGCGUGAGUGAUGAAGGCCUUCGGGUCGUAAAACUCUGUCCUCAAGGAAGAUAAUGACGGUACUUGAGGAGGAAGCCCCGGCUAACUACGUGCCAGCAGCCGCGGUAAUACGUAGGGGGCUAGCGUUAUCCGGAUU
rnacentral:rRNA from 1 species